UACGGGGGGGAGCAAGCGUUGUUCGGAUUUACUGGGCGUAAAGGGCGCGUAGGCGGCGCAACAAGUCACUUGUGAAAUCUCCGGGCUUAACCCGGAGCGGCCAAGUGAUACUGUCGUGCUAGAGUGCGGAAGGGGCUACUGGAAUUCUCGGUGUAGCGGUGAAAUGCGCAGAUAUCAGGAGGAACACCGGUGGCGAAGGCGGGUCUCUGGGCCGAUACUGACGCUGAGGAGCGAAAGCGUGGGGAGCGAACAGG
rnacentral:rRNA from 1 species